GUAACAAGGUCUCCGUAGGUGAACCUGCGGAGGGAUCAUUACUGAGUGAGGGCCUUCGGGCUCGACCUCCAACCCUUUGUGAACACAACUUGUUGCUUCGGGGGCGACCCUGCCGUUUCGACGGCGAGCGCCCCCGGAGGCCUUCAAACACUGCAUCUUUGCGUCGGAGUUUAAGUAAAUUAAACAAAACUUUCAACAACGGAUCUCUUGGUUCUGGCAUCGAUGAAGAACGCAGCGAAAUGCGAUAAGUAAUGUGAAUUGCAGAAUUCAGUGAAUCAUCGAAUCUUUGAACGCACAUUGCGCCCCUUGGUAUUCCGAGGGGCAUGCCUGUUCGAGCGUCAUUUCACCACUCAAGCCUCGCUUGGUAUUGGGCGCCGCGGUGUUCCGCGCGCCUCAAAGUCUCCGGCUGAGCUGUCCGUCUCUAAGCGUUGUGAUUUCAUUAAUCGCUUCGGAGCGCGGGCGGUCGCGGCCGUUAAAUCUUUCACAAGGUUGACCUCGGAUCAGGUAGGGAUACCCGCUGAACUUAAGCAUAUC
rnacentral:rRNA from 1 species